UGCAGUCGAGCGCAGGAACUGACGGAACUCUUCGGAGGGAAGGCAGCGGAAUGAGCGGCGGACGGGUGAGUAACACGUAAGGAACCUGCCUCAAGGAUUGGGAUAACUCCGAGAAAUCGGAGCUAAUACCGGAUAGUUCAUCGGACCGCAUGGUCCGUUGAUGAAAGGCGCUUCGGCGUCACCUUGAGAUGGCCUUGCGGUGCAUUAGCUAGUUGGUGGGGUAACGGCCCACCAAGGCGACGAUGCAUAGCCGACCUGAGAGGGUGAUCGGCCACACUGGGACUGAGACACGGCCCAGACUCCUACGGGAGGCAGCAGUAGGGAAUCUUCCACAAUGGACGAAAGUCUGAUGGAGCAACGCCGCGUGAGUGAUGAAGGUUUUCGGAUCG
rnacentral:rRNA from 1 species